CAGUAGCCGCGGUAAUACAGAGGGUGCGAGCGUUAAUCGGAUUUACUGGGCGUAAAGCGUGCGUAGGCGGCUUUUUAAGUCGGAUGUGAAAUCCCUGAGCUUAACUUAGGAAUUGCAUUCGAUACUGGGAAGCUAGAGUAUGGGAGAGGAUGGUAGAAUUCCAGGUGUAGCGGUGAAAUGCGUAGAGAUCUGGAGGAAUACCGAUGGCGAAGGCAGCCAUCUGGCCUAAUACUGACGCUGAGGUACGAAAGCAUGGGGAGCAAACAGGAUUAGAUACCCGUGUAGUCCCUGUCUCUUAUAA
rnacentral:rRNA from 1 species